rnacentral:misc_RNA from 1 species
UGUUCUCACAAACUAUAUGGGUUGCAAAACCCCUAUUGGGCGUGGAUUUGGGCAUUUUUGCUAUGGUGCCUUUGUGCAACAUUGCAAUUGCCUUAAAAUGAUUGCGUGUAUGCCCCAAUUGGUAGUAAUUGGUUUACCCUCAAUGCAACAGUCAAAUGAAACAUUUUGGGGGACCUUUUGUGAACAUUGGACUUGGAAUACACUUCCAUUCUAUACAGCAACCAUCUCUAGUAUUGAGAUUGUUUCUGAA